CAGUCGCGACACCAAUAAUGCCCUUAAUCCACAUGUUUCCAAUCCAACGGUCGAUAAGUCGGUCCCACUUCUAAAACGUACAACGAACAAUAAGCCAUUGAUAUACGAUUCGGUCAUAGACUGAGGUAUUAACUGUCGAAAACCCGAAGAGCGAGUCAGCGAGAUUAGAACCGAGGUUGUCAUCUCUCUCGUGAGCUCGUCUGUCCUUCUCCUGUGUCUCCGGUCCCAGACGCUUUCAAAAUUCCAAGACUCGAGCUUGUGAGGGAGUUGAUGGCGACACGUUCUGCAUCAACGGCACGAGGUGGUGGUGGUCGCAAAGAGGCAAGCAACCCAGACGCGACGGCUAAGGCAACUGUUGCUGAUCAGAUAUCUCAGGCCGUUCAAUCCACUUCCAAUCUUCUUCAUCUAAUGCAGGAAUCCUCUCCUUCCCAGGCCCUCCUACUGAAACUUCCAAAUAACCUUGUAGCGAAGACCUCUACCAUCAAGAAUACUGGGCAAGUGCUGGAGCAGAUGCCUCGGGUCAUAUCAUCCUUGGAUGCUUAUAUGGAAAAUGGACUGCACAGGUUCAUUUUCAUGUUUUUGUGUUCCUCAUCUGAAGACUGUAAUCCAGUUGCUUUGUAACAUGGAAAGCUCCCAGCUUAGCUAUGGCUCUCAAGUUCAUCAGUCCCAAGAGAAGUACUCGUUGGAGCAGGACAAGUGAGGAAAGGAACACAAAAUAUUAGUGGCAUCAUCUCCCCCGUCGGGAUUAUGGAAUACUAUUUGGAGCAAGAUGAGAAAGAAUGCGAAAGGCAAAAGUUUUGGUAAAGCUCAGUGUCAUUAUGAACCUCCUAGUUGUGAGCACUCAUUCAAAAGAAGUCACUGAUAAUGAAGAACAAAGAGGAUGUUAGCAAUCUAUUCUGCUCUCAUUUGUCAUCAUCAUUUUUUUUAUUUUUUUUUUCCGUCUAGGUUUGUGAAGUUGUAUUCAUCCUACCAUUGUUUAAUUAGCAUAAAUGAAAAUUAUAGCAAAUAUUUUGGCUUA